UCCCUGGUGGUCUAGUGGUUAAGACUACACACUUUCACUGUAGGAGGCACAGGGUUGAAUCCCUAGUCAGGGAA
rnacentral:tRNA from 1 species